rnacentral:rRNA from 1 species
UACGUAGGUGGCAAGCGUUGUCCAGAAUUAUUGGGCGUAAAGCGCGCGCAGGUGGUUCCUUAAGUCUGAUGUGAAAGCCCACGGCUCAACCGUGGAGGGUCAUUGGAAACUGGGGAACUUGAGUGCAGAAGAGGAAAGUGGAAUUCCAAGUGUAGCGGUGAAAUGCGUAGAGAUUUGGAGGAACACCAGUGGCGAAGGCGACUUUCUGGUCUGUAACUGACACUGAGGCGCGAAAGCGUGGGGAGCAAACAGG